CAAAUAAAAUGAUGAGCAAAAGGCAUUUGCGUAGACUCCGUAAGAGUGAAAGGGAAGCUAACAUUGCAAAGUUAGCGUUGUGCAGGAAAGAUAACAGAUAACAGCAAUGAAAUCGAUUCUCCAGCCAGCUGGCGUUUUGAGCGGGUUAAACUUUAUUUUGAGUGAGGAAAUUGUUCUAGCCUAUAACGUAAGGGAAGAAGGCCCUUAGGACCCACAAAGAAUUUUUUGCAGCUUUGCUAGAAUGUAUUCCGCCUGGCGAUGAGCCCCCCGAAAACACUGUGCGGAAGGCAAUGCAAAGGAUGAAGAAAAGGGUGUUUAA